GAGAAUUUCCACUCUGAAUUCACAUUCCGUUCAGUGUUAUCGCCACCCUGUGGAUUUCUUGGGUAAUGAAACUCAGACCGGGAAAUGAAAACGGGGAUUUUCAGUAAAUCGGUUCCAGUAAAUCUCUGCUGCUCUUGUGGGCGCCCUCUUUUGAGCACCGGAGGAAUGAGCACCGUUCUUCAUUCUUUUGGUUUUGUAAAGUUGUAGAGCUGCGUUCAUAACUACCUCGCUGGCUUUGAGCACAACCCAGGAAGAAGUUUGAAACCAAGAAAAUGGUGGUUGGGAAGACCAGGAUGCGCAAUGGCAAGGCACCCAAUACAUACAAGGGAGUAAAUGAAUGAAUUAAAGCUGUCUGUAUCUGCUGAUCAUCCACAAUUUAGACGUCCUAUACUACAUUCCAAUUGAGGGCAAGCGGGGUACGUGUCCUGAAUUUAUAGAAUCUUUUGACACAAAGCAAGAGAGCCACAGUCAAGACUCAAGUCAAAAGAAAUUUAGACCCCAUCUGGGCAAACAGGCCUCUAAGCAACAAUCUAAGAUUUCCACCUAUUGUUCUGGCAUUCCUUGUAUAAAUGAUUAUGACUGCAGAGAUCUUAGGAAGUGCUGUGGUACCUUUAGAUGUGGCCUGAGGUGCAUACAUCCUCUUAUGAUUGGCCCUGUAUUUUUCAAUUCACCUCCACAAUCCAAGGCAUAAAUAUUGGAUGGAGAAAUGGAUUCAGAUGGAGGCAUCAUUGAGCUUAUUCUUGACUCAUCUCAGUCCAAACAUUACUCUGUCAAUCGUUGUUCUUAAAAUCUGCAUAUUAAAAGCUCAGCAUCAACUA
ensembl:lncRNA LINC02366 long intergenic non-protein coding RNA 2366